GGUUGGAUCUGAUUCCAAAAUGAGAUCCAUGCAACAGACACAUCAUCGUCACCUGUGAUUUGUUUACUGGGAAAUCUUGAUCAAAUAGCAACAGGAGGUUUCCGCCCUCGAGUCUCAGAUUGCAGCGCCGAUGUCAGGAGGUGGUGAGGGAGAGGGGAAGGCACUGAGGAACACUAAGAAAGGGGAGACAGUGAAAGAGCAGGACGUCACAAACUGCUCUAAUCACCUUCCUGACCGGCUGCACAGGAAGUUGAUGUCAUUGGUAAGACCAGUGUUUGUUGUCCAGCCCGACUCUCCUUGAUUCAAGUGACCAGAGUGUAGUUAAGAGCCACAUGUAGACCUCAGAAGGGUCACCUGAAUGUGGAUAACAUCAAGGAAAAAAGAUAACAAACCAAUGACCUCCCUUCCAGUGCUUCCUCAGGUGUCCAUCCUGCUGCAAGUAUCCUUACCUGGGUCAAGCCAGGAGCAAAUCCACAACUUGGCCAUCAUCCAUACUCUUUGCUCCAGGAGGCCAAAGGUCAGGAGUGAAGAAGUGAAUUGAAGGUCACCAGUCCACAUCCCCCCCACCUCAGUAUGGCAGAUGACUGAGGCUUAAAAGGUUAAAGUGAAGAACACUUUGAAGGAAAUGCUGAAGAAUGCAGACCAUCAGUCAACAGAACGUCUUUAAGCAGCAUCUUAUUGAUUUAUUGUCAGAAGCAAUAAUUAUAAACAUAAUUAAAAAGAAUUUAUAAAAAUAAUCUGGAUGACAUUAGCAAAAGCAGCUCCUUAAGUCAAUAACAUUGAAAUACAUAAGAAUACACCACAAGGCAGAAUGUGACUUAAUUUGGGUAGUGUACAGAAUAAUAGUAUAAAAUAAAAAUGUGGCAAAUAAAUGCUGCUAUCUAUUGAAUAUUUGGUCAUAUCUGGAAUAUAUUUACUGAGCUGGGGUGAGCAGAGAAAGGACAAAUAAUACUGUUAUCAUAGCAAGGUGGACUCAAUUGUCCAAAUACUGACGUGUUCAACACUGGCUGAGGAAAAACCUCAACGUACAUCAACUAGUCAAUUUUACUCUGUACCCUGGAGAUUCCCUUACUUCCCUCAGUCUCCCUUGCCUCCUGCAAUCUGUGCAUCUUCUGAAUCUUCAGGUGGCAUCAACAAAACAUUCAGUUGAUAGUGUCUUUGAGUUUCAACCCAAUGGUUGCCUGUUCCUAGCAUUCACCAUUUGGGAAAAAAUAUCCCCACAAACAAUUUGUGGGGGAUGAGCUUAACAUUGGCUUCAAACCUAACCCUGGCAAAACGUAGCAAUAACAGAAAUUGCUGACAUUUGAUUAAAAAAAAAAAUCCCUGGACUCAAAGCAUCAACCCUGAUUCUCCACCCUCCCAUCCACCCCCACACAGAUGCUACCCUACCUGCUGAAUUUCUCCAGCAAUUUCUGUUAUUGUUUCAGAUCUCCAGCAUCCGCAGUUCUUUGUUUUACCCUGGCAAAAUGUGGCUUGCAUUUGGAGAUUCAUGUAUGAGAAAAGUUUUGCCUAUAGAGAAUGUUGAUCUGUUUCACAUUAGUUUAGCUUCCAAAUUGUGGGCAUUCUGAAGCAACAUCAUGAGAGACUCAAACACAGCCAAAGUGUACAAUCUGUAAAUAGAAGAUGGUUCGAAGUCCUUUCACUAAUUAUCACUGAAACACACUAAACCCAAUUGUAUACCUAACUUUAAAGGACAUUUGUUC